GAGACUCUGUGCGCGUGCAUAUCAAUAAGCGGAGGAAAAGAAACUAACAAGGAUUCCCUUAGUAACGGCGAGUGAAGCGGGAAGAGCUCAAAUUUGAAAUCUUCAAGGUUCUACCUUGACGAAUUGUAGUUUAUAGAAGUGUUUUCUGUUAGUGGAGUGGCAAAAGUUCUUUGGAAUAGGACAUCAUAGAGGGUGAGAAUCCCGUAUUUGGUCAUUCCUCCUAGCGUUGUGAUACACUUUCAACGAGUCGGAUUGUUUGGGAAUGCAGUCCAAAAUGGGUGGUAAAUUUCAUCUAAAGCUAAAUAUUGGCGAGAGACCGAUAGCGAACAAGUACCGUGAGGGAAAGAUGAAAAGAACUUUGAAAAGAGAGUUAAACAGUACGUGAAAUUGUCAAAAGGGAAGCGUUUGACACCAGUGUUGUUUUUCCGAAAAUCAAUUACGAAUGUUUUGUUUUUGAGGAGUUAUGACUUCAUCGGCUUGCUCCUUUCUUUACGAAACUUUCUUAAUGCACUUUUCGGUUAACAAGUCAACAUCAAUUUCUUUUGUUGUAAAAGGGUAUGAGGAAGGUGGCUUUCUUUUCGGAGAAAGUGUUUAUAGCCUUGUACCUCUAGCAAUCGGAGAGAUUGAGGUCUGCAGCGUAGAUCCUUCGGGGUUAGAUACAGUUUGUGCUAAGCUAUAGCCUUGUAUAGACAACUUGUUGACUAUGCUCAGUCAUGUAGCUUACUCGCUUAUGCUAUUUUACCUACGCUUAGGAUGUUGAUCUGUAGUGCGUGCGC
rnacentral:rRNA from 1 species